rnacentral:tRNA from 1 species
AAGAGGAAAGUAUUAAAAAUAGCUUCUAACUAAUUUUUAAAGCGGUUAAACUCCGUUUACCUCUUA